ensembl:piRNA 21ur-2407 ncRNA
UUAUUGGCAUAUUUUGACAAU